CAUGUUUCUAAUAGUUCGUAAACAUAACCUUGUGGGUGGAGUUAAGUUAAUGUACAACUUAUUAUUGGCGUAUGGGAUAACACUUUAAUAAAUAUGAACUUGGGUCAGAAGGAAUUAGGCCUGCAUUUUUAAAGCGGGUGUUCCCAGGUGUAGAAUCCUGAGGUUGGGGUGGAGACUAAACUGAUGUGAGUGGACUCAUAUGGUUGGAUUCCCGAGGUUGGAUUCCUGCGACUGGAUUAGAGGUUGGAUUCCAGAGGUUGGAUACG
rnacentral:misc_RNA from 1 species